rnacentral:rRNA from 1 species
UACGGAGGGAGCUAGCGUUGUUCGGAAUUACUGGGCGUAAAGCGCGCGUAGGCGGCUUUGUAAGUUAGAGGUGAAAGCCCGGGGCUCAACCCCGGAAUUGCCUUUAAGACUGCAUCGCUUGAAUCCGGGAGAGGUGAGUGGAAUUCCAGGUGUAGCGGUGAAAUGCGUAGAUAUCUGGAGGAACACCGGUGGCGAAGGCGGCAUCCUGGACCGGUAUUGACGCUGAGGCGCGAAAGCCAGGGGAGCAAACGGG